rnacentral:miRNA from 1 species
GGCGCGUCUUCGGAUUCAGUAUG